UGCAGUCGUACGAGAGUUUUGAACUCAAGUGGCGGACGGGUGAGUAACACGUAAGAAUUUACCUUUAGGAGGGGGACAACAAUACCCCAUAUGCUUUCGAGUGAAAUGGAUUUCCGCCUAAAGAGAAGCUUGCGGCUGAUUAGCUUGUUGGUAAGGUAAUGGCUUACCAAGGCGACGAUCAGUAUCUGGUUUGAGAGGACGAUCAGACACACUGGAACUGAGACACGGUCCAGACUCCUACGGGAGGCAGCAGUGGGGAAUUUUCCGCAAUGGGCGAAAGCCUGACGGAGCAAUACCGCGUGAGGGAUGACGGCCUAUGGGUUGUAAACCUCUUUUUUCAGGGAGGAACAAAAUGACGUGUACCUGAAGAAUAAGCAUCGGCUAACUCCGUGCCAGCAGCCGCGGUAAGACGGAGGAUGCAAGUGUUAUCCGGAAUCACUGGGCGUAAAGCGUCUGUAGGUGGUCAAAUAAGUCAACUGUUAAAUCUUGAGGCUCAACCUCAAAAUCGCAGUCGAAACUAUUCGACUUGAGUAUAGUAGGGGUAAAGGGAAUUUCCAGUGGAGCGGUGAAAUGCGUAGAGAUUGGAAAGAACACCGAUGGCGAAGGCACUUUAUGUGGG
rnacentral:rRNA from 1 species